rnacentral:lncRNA from 1 species
AUUUCUUGGGCCGCUCCCGCAGCAUAUGGAGGUUCCUAGGCUAGGGGUCGAAUCAGAGCCGUAGCCACCGGCCUACGCCAGAGCCACAGCAACUCGGGAUCCGAGCCACGUCUGCGACCUACACCACAGCUCACGGCAACGCCGGAUCGUUAACCCACUGAGCAAGGCCAGGGAUCAAACCCGCAACCUCAUGGUUCCUAGUCAGAUUCGUUAACCACUGCGCCACGACAGGAACUCCCUCUGAGAACUGAAAGAACAAGUGUUAUGGGGGUGGGGAGAGGGCAGAAGGCCCCGAGGGGAGGGAGGCCUCCACCCAACCCAGCCUGGCCAGAAGGCACCUGUGCCGUAUGGCAGACACAUGGCCAGCUCCUCCAGCAGAGAGAACAAAGAACCCAAGAUGAAGUGUAACCUUCAGUGAAGCAAGAGGGGACACUGCUGCCACUUUCCCGUUUAUUUUUGGCAAAUGUUUAUGCAGCUUAAAAGUCCACCUUCUGUGUCACCUGCUACAGUGACUCCAGCCCUAAGCAGUAAACCCAAAACCCUCAACUCAUUCCCACAGCCUAGCUUCUACCUGGGUCACUAGUGGUCCCAAGUGGCCAUCAGGACACAACAUCAGUGGGAGCUCACUCUGAGGAGACCCAUAGCCCACACUGUCCCAGGACUGCCCACAGCAACAAUCCCCAUACAGCCUGGUGGGUCAACGUUAAAAUUCUUUUGCGGCAGCAGCUUUUCCCCAUUCAUCUUCACUUUCAGUGUGGAGCAAACAGUACGGGGUCAGUAUGUGCUACUGAGUUAAACUGACAUUUCUAUAAAUUAGCUUCAUGAAGUGUAUGAUUCCUAGGGCUGCCUACAAGGCAAAAUGUAGCAAACAAGACAAGUGCUUUCAUUAAAAACUUCUGCAUUCUGACUUUCUGGAAGGCAAGUGUACUGAAAUGGAGUCUCACAGAUUGAGGUCAAAGGCAGAAACAGAAAUCCAGGGAGAAGGUCCAGGCAGAACAGCACGGACCAAGUCACAGAGGAGGGAGAAUCUCAGGAAGGCCACAGGUAGUCCUGUGCUAAAAGUUUCCUCAUAAAGAGAGCUAAUUCUUACUGACUAAAGCUGAGUUCUAAAACCUUAGUUGCCUGAAAACUUAAGAUGCUCCAGAAGUACAUGUGUUUUCUUUCUUUCUUGGAGCUCCACCUGGCUAGGAACUCCUUGGGCCUUCAAAGACCUAGACCGAGAAGACAAGGAGGACAGACUCUCCCUGCAGCAGUCUUAUGACUUGGAUGGGGGCGGGCCGUGCCCAUACACAUGGGGGCAGAGAGAUGGCUGCCAUUCACCCAGAGCCUCCGUGGGUAGAAGACUAGCCUGUAAUCCCACAAAAGAUGGGGAAACCCAAGUCUAGUGGGCCUAGAACCUAGAUCUAACACUCUUUUUCUACUUGGCAUUCUCAAAAGGUGCCCACUGUGGACCACUCUACUGCACAAUCUAAAGGCCUUUUGUUAAUUCAUGUUUAAAUGGUUUUCACCUGGAGAGACAAGCACAUGGUGGGGCCAAAAUGACACUUGCCAGCUGUCCUCAAAUGCCACAAUGGCAGCCUCACCUCAGAGAAUUAAGAUUUGCCCUGUCAGGAAUUCCCGCUAUGGUGCAACGACAUUGGUGGCAUCUUGGGAGCACCAGGUUCAAUCCCUGGCCUGGCACAGUGGGUUAAGGAUCCGGUGUUGCACAACUGUGGCUGGGGUCGCAACUGUGGUUUAGAUCUGAUCCCUGGCUCAACUCCAUAUUCCUUGGGGCAGCAAAAAAUGGAAAAGAAAAAAAGAUUUUCACUGCCAUGAGUUGGGGCUGUGGAAGGACCCACGGGGAAGCCUGGCCUGGGAAGACCUCGGAACCUUAAGGUAUGAGCCCCCUGUUAUCAGACAUCACUGCCUCCCACAAGGUAAUAGGCCAUGUGACAGCAGGGCCAUGCCAUCAAUGUUCCUGGUGCAUCCCCAGCUCCAGGAGAGUGCCAGCCACACAGGAGGUGCAUAUCAAACAUUUGAUCAAUAAACAAAUAUAGGUUUUAUAGAGAGGAGCUCAGAAGAUCUGGGGAGGGGGCAGACAAGAUACUUCAGUCUCCCUUUCAGCACUGGGAUUCUCAAAUCUUAACCCAAGUUUAAUGCUCCUUUGUUGUUAAUAGAAAUGCCGGGUCUUCUUUUACAGGCAAAACACCUAACACUGACUAAGCAUUUACCCUACAUGGAUCAUCUUGGGUGCAAGCCCUGUCUUCCUGGUAGGGAAAAAGGCGGGUGAGGGUCACACAGCAAGUGGGUGAGACAAUGCUGGGAACUGAAGCCCAUGCUCCUCCAAACAGUGCCCACUCCAACACUCAGAGUCCAGCAUAAGCCACUCAGAGUCAGGCAUAAGGUUUCCAAAGGACACCAGAAGCUCCUCACAAGCAGGAAAUCGGACUUAACAUUUGACAUCUCAAUCUGCCCCAUGGGGUCCAGAUGAGAUAUUAAAAUGUUUAUUACAACCUUUUUGAGUGUUAUGAGUGAAACCACACCUUUUGCUGUCUGCUUUCAAAGUGCAGUAAGUUCCGCUGGGACACAACAUAUGCAUUCCUAAGCUACCAUCUGGUGCAAAAUCACACAACAAAAA